AGAGUUUGAUCCUGGCUCAGGACGAACGCUGGCGGCGCGCCUAACACAUGCAAGUCGAACGAGCGAGGGAGAGCUUGCUUUCUCGAGCGAGUGGCGAACGGGUGAGUAACGCGUGAGGAACCUGCCUCAAAGAGGGGGACAACAGUUGGAAACGACUGCUAAUACCGCAUAAGCCCACAGUUCGGCAUCGAGCAGAGGGAAAAGGAGCAAUCCGCUUUGAGAUGGCCUCGCGUCCGAUUAGCUAGUUGGUGAGGUAAUGGCCCACCAAGGCGACGAUCGGUAGCCGGACUGAGAGGUUGAACGGCCACAUUGGGACUGAGACACGGCCCAGACUCCUACGGGAGGCAGCA
rnacentral:rRNA from 1 species